GACGAACGCUGGCGGUGUGCUUCAUACAUGCAAGUCGAACGAGAAAGUCCCCUUCGGGGGGCGAGUAAAGUGGCGAACGGGUGCGUAACACGUGAGCAAUCUGCCUCGAAGCUGGGGAUAACCUUCCUAACGGAGGGCUAAUACCCGAUGUGUUUACCGGGUGGCAUCGCCUGGUGAAUAAAGAUGGCGUGCUGAACGCUAUCACUUCGAGAUGGGCUCGCGGCCUAUUAGCUAGUUGGUGAGGUAACGGCCCACCAAGGCAACGAUGGGUAGCCGGCCUGAGAGGGUGACCGGCCACAUUGGGACUGAGAUACGGCCCAGACUCCUACGGGAGGCUG
rnacentral:rRNA from 1 species